GCCAGCGUGGCAUAGUGGUUUACAUAUUGGACUGUGACUCUGGAGACCAGGGUUCGAUUACCAGCUUGGCC